rnacentral:lncRNA from 12 species
UUUCAUUCCCAUAAUGUGGAGCCUAAGAGCAUGUGACGAGACUUUUGCCUUUUCCAGAAUGUCACACCAUCAAAUAAUGCACAAAGCUAAGGAAGAGUCUUGCUUCUUCAUUUUGAGGAAUCAAUGAGAUUUUAAGUUGAAGUCCAAGAUAAGUACGUACUAUUCCACUUCUAUGAUUUCCUAAGAAGCUUAUCAAAAU